rnacentral:rRNA from 1 species
UACGUAGGGGGCUAGCGUUGUCCGGAAUCAUUGGGCGUAAAGAGCGUGUAGGCGGCUCGGUAAGUCUGCUGUAAAAGUCAAAGGCUCAACCUUUGAAUGUCAGUGGAUACUGCCGGGCUAGAGUCCGGAAGAGGCGAGUGGAACUCCUGGUGUAGCGGUGGAAUGCGCAGAUAUCAGGAAGAACACCAGCGGCGAAGACAGCUCGCUAGGACGGUACUGACGCUGAGACGCGAAAGCGUGGGGAGCGAACAGG